UACGAAGGGGGCUAGCGUUGUUCGGAAUCACUGGGCGUAAAGCGCGCGUAGGCGGCUGGAUAAGUCGAUUGUGAAAGCCUUGGGCUCAACCUGAGAAUUGCAGUCGAGACUGUUCGGCUAGAGUGUGGGAGAGGGUGGUGGAAUUCCCGGUGUAGCGGUGAAAUGCGUAGAUAUCGGGAGGAACAUCAGUGGCGAAGGCGACCACCUGGCCCAACACUGACGCUGAGGUGCGAAAGCGUGGGUAGCAAACAGG
rnacentral:rRNA from 1 species